rnacentral:lncRNA from 1 species
CUCACAUGGAUCUCAAGUCUUUGAAGAUUUCCGGACCACUUUCAGCUGACCAAGUGGAACAAAAGUUAGUUACAUCGACGACAGGUUUAACUACAACAACUCCAGCACCUUCAACAACAGCAACAACAGUCCUAACCACAAUAGGUAACGGAAAUUCUGUACCAUGGGCUACAGUUGUAUCUCCACCAGUUCAAGUAGUCAAACCAUUGCGUUCAACAAAUCAUGUUGGUCCUGUUUCCUAUCCUAAGCCACCUCGACCCACUGCUCCUCCACUUUCAGCUGUCGCCCCGGCUCGUCCAGCUCCUCCUCCGCCUCCUUUGCCUUCUCAGAGAUCAUCGCCUUCAUCGAAAACAGCUUCAGGCCGUCCAAAUCAACCAGCGCCCAAUAGAUUAACAGCUGGUAAUUUAUCUCGCUCUACAAGCCUUCGUUCAUCAACACGAACCCAUCUUGAAAGACCAAAGCAUCCUCCACCCAAACCCCCUCCUAUAGAUCAAAAUGAGGAUAACUCAUCCAGUGAUUCAUCUUCUGAUCCUCCUCCCUCAUCUAAUAAUAGUAAAGACCUUCAACGUCCCCUCAUGAAUAAUCGAGAAGAGGAUGAUAGGAAAGCUUCCUCCAAUGAUAGUAUCGGACAAGCCAGUUUCGCUGCACGGCUGGCUGCUUUGCAAGCUAGUUUUAAUGCAUCAAACAAAUCUUCAUCCCAUCCUCCUUCAUCCUUAUCAAAUCAACCCCAAAUCAAGUCCAAAGUAGGUUUAGUCAAAGACUCAGAUGAACAAAGUACUGGAAACGAUAAACAUUUAAGAUGAUGAUAAAUUAUGAUUAAACUAGU